rnacentral:rRNA from 1 species
GUGCCAGCAGCCGCGGUAAGACGUAGGGCGCGAGCGUUGUCCGGAUUUAUUGGGCGUAAAGAGCUCGUAGGCGGCUUGUCGCGUCGACUGUGAAAACCCGUGGCUCAACCAUGUGGUCUGCAGUCGAUACGGGCAGGCUAGAAUUCGGUAGGGGAGACUGGAAUUCCUGGUGUAGCGGUGAAAUGCGCAGAUAUCAGGAGGAACACCGGUGGCGAAGGCGGGUCUCUGGGCCGAUAUUGACGCUGAGGAGCGAAAGCGUGGGGAGCGAACAGGAUUAGAUACCCUGGUAGUCC